rnacentral:rRNA from 1 species
GAUGAAUGCUGGCGGCGUGCCUAACACAUGCAAGUCGAGCGGCAGCGCGGAGAGUUUACUCUCUGGCGGCGAGCGGCGGACGGCUGAGUAACGCGUGGGAACGUGCCCCAAAGUGAGGGAUAACUGCCCGAAAGGGUGGCUAAUGCCGCAUAUGAUCUUCGGAUUAAAGGAUUUAUCCGCUUUGGGAGCGGCCCGCGUCGGAUUAGGUUGUUGGUGAGGUAAUGGCUCACCAAGCCGACGAUCCGUAGCUGGUCUGAGAGGAUGAUCAGCCAGACUGGGACUGAGACACGGCCCAGACUCCUACGGGAGGCAGCAGUGAGGAAUCUUCCACAAUGGGCGAAAGCCUGAUGGAGCAACGCCGCGUGCAGGAUGAAGGCCUUCGGGUUGUAAACUGCUUUUAUAAGUGAAGAAUAUGACGGUAACUUAUGAAUAAGCACCGGCUAACUACGUGCCAGCAGCCGCGGUAA